AGCAGCCGCGGUAAUUCCAGCUCCAAUAGCGUAUAUUAAAGUUGCUGCAGUUAAAAAGCUCGUAGUUGAAUUUCGGGACCAUCAUGUCGGUCGUGCCUAGGUACGUACUGGCAUUGUUGGUUUCUCCCUUCUGACGAACCAUGAUGUCAUUUAUUUGGUGUUGUGGGGAAUCAGGACUCUGUUACUUUGAAAAAUUAGAGUGUUUAAAGCAGGCUCACGCUUGAAUACAUUAGCAUGGAAUAAUGAAAUAGGACGUUUGAUUCUAUUUUGUGGUUUCUAGGAUCGACGUAAUGAUUAAUAGGGAUAGUUGGGGCAUUAGUAUUCAAUUGUCAGAGGUGAAAUUCUUGGAUUUAUUGAAGACUAACUAACUGCGAAAGCGAUUUGCCAAGGAUGUUUUCAUUAAUCAAGAACGAAAGUUAGGGGAUCGAAGACGAUCAGAUACCGUCGUAGUCUUAACCAUAAACUAUGCCGACUAGGGAUCGGAUGAUGUUA
rnacentral:rRNA from 1 species